GCUCAUUGUCUUAACAUUCCCAAAAGAAACUGUAGUGUACUUUUAGAGAAUCAAUAGUGCACUUUUAGAGAAUCAAUAGUAACAGAGACGGCUGCCUGAAGAGUCCAAGGAAUCUAGUUCUAUUCAAUAGCAUUUACUUAGCUAAGCUUAAUAGAGCAGCAAGAAAGACAAGUACUCCUUACUACAAUUGAAGAUCUGUCCUCUGAUGGAUGCGUGGUCACAUGGAGAAUAAAGUGCUUCCAGGAGAAGUAAAAACAAACAUUCUUUAUUUUUAUAUUUUAUACAUCUCUCUGUCUUAGACGGAUGGGGCUUUUUACAACAGCAUGAAGAAAUUCAGAACCAAUUAGAUGACUUCCAAAACUCUCAACCAUUUUGAAGGCUUGAGAAGGCAAGUGGUGGGGAUAAGAAGAAUGAGAAGAAUUUCUUCAGAGUGAGCUAUUCUGCUUUUCUUCUAAACAAAGGGAGGAGACUGCCCCUUCUUUAUUUAAAAUCAAGAUGAUGCUAUAAGGAAACUUCUAGAAAUCUUUGCGUACACGGUGAACUGGUUUCUAAUUCAUGAUAGACAGCUGGCAGAGCCAGGCUAAAGUGGUGUAAGAUAGUAAAAUAAAGGUAUCUUUUGGACUCUAUUUGUUGAAGUAAAAAAUACAAGAUAUUUUUCUUUGUACCUGAUAUAGGCCAUACUUUCAAGAAAGUCUGCAUAGGGUUUUCUUAAACCCUAUACAUGAUAGACACCUGAAAGAAUUAGGGAACUUUUGUAGUAGAAUACUGAUUACCUAAGAAUGUGGGAGAAAUCACAAGCAAUCACUUGAUUGCACAGGAAAUAUGUGCUGUUGUCAAGGGAACUAAUAGACAUUGGCAGAGAUGGGAAACUUUCUUAAUAACCCAUCAAGGUGCUGACAGAGUAAAUCUACAAAGCGUAAUGAAUGAUACAUCAUCGUGAUGGUCCUAGUCAAGUGAGAACUCUCCUGGAGAGUUGUCACUCCUCCCUCUCCACAACUCUAAACACAGAAGAAUGUGGAGGCUCCAAAACUGUGGUUAGGGAGGGGAGGAAGAAGUUGAGAAAAAGACCUAUAUGAAAGGAAAGAGGGAUACAACCAUAGACAUUCCCUUCUCUGAAUUCAGAUUUUGCAACUUGUGCUUCUUGACUUAAAUGCUUAUUUUGUCUUGUAUUGAUCCAGCUUCUUCACCUUACUUUUACUUAAUAUUCACAUCUUGUACCUUCUUCCAUUUCUUUAAAACUAUUUGUUCUCUCAUAAUUCAUGCUUGCUUCAAGCAAGAAUUAUAUUUUGGUUUGUUUUCUUCACUGGAAUCCAAUGACAUUAGCAUUCAAAGCACUUAUACAUGUUAACCCAAAAUGUCUGAGACAGGUCUCAGUCAUUUUAGAAAGUUUAUUUUGCCAAGGUUAAGGACACACCAGUGACAUAGCCUCAGGAAGUCUUGAUAACAUGUGUCCAAGGUGGUCGGGGGUAUAGUUUGUUUUAUACAUUUUAGGGAGACACGAGACAUCAAUCAAUAUGUGAAGGAUAUGCACUGGUUCAGUCUGGUAAGGCAGGAUAACUUGAAGUGGGGGCUUCCAGGUUAGAAGUAGAUAAGAGACAAAAGGUUGCAUUCUUUUGAGUCCUUAAUCAGCCUCCCACUGAAUAUACAAUUUAGUCUGGCUCAGUGAAUCUGCAUUUUUACAUAAACAAUAGGGCAGAGGAAGCAAUCAGAUAUGCAUUUGUCUCAGGUCAGCUUAGAUGAUGACUUUGAGUUCUGUCUGUCCUUUGUCCACAAGGAAUUUCCUGUCGGUAAAUUGUGAGGAAGGUGUGUAUCUUCUUUGUAGCUAAAAUGGGAGGCAGGCUCGCCUGACAUAGUUCCCAGCUUGACUGUUCCCUUGGCUUAGUGAUUUGGGGGACUGGGGUCUAUUUUCCUUUCACAUACAUAAUGUCAUUACUGAGACACUGAUUUAUGUCUUCUGUCAUAAUGAUUAUGUCCUCCUUAGCACUUCUGCCUUAUGUUCCCCUUUCAUUCAUUUCUUUACAUCUUUUGCAUUAAUUCCGUAUUGUUAUUAUUGCGUUUUCCCUUCAAUUAACUUUCUACAUAUAUAUUUACAAAAUUACAAUGAUUUAGUGGUAGCCCUUGACUUGUCAUAGACUAAUACAAAUGUCUCUGGUCCUGCUAGAAUUCAUGUACCUUUUCACUUUGCUUAUCCUGCUAUGUAUUUUAUACAUAAUUGCUUUGCAUUUUAUUUUUACAUAUAUUUUGAGUUGCACAAAACCUUUUUUUUACAACCAAUAUUGUUUAUUAUGGGCUUAUAUAUUUACCCUUCCUAAUGUAUUUCAUUCCUUCCCUUAGUUUCAUUUUUUAAUCUAGAAUUAUUUUCCUUCAUCCUGAAGAUAAAGUAUUUCUUGCAGAAAAACCAACUGGCAAAAAAAAAAAAAAAAAAAAAAAAAAAAAAGUUAAUGGCCUAAACUUUUGUUUUCCUGAAUGCAAGCCUUUAAUGGUAAUAAAUAUUUCUGCUGGAUUAGAAUUUUAAAUUGGCAGGGUUUUGUUUUGUUUCUUUCGACAAAAGAAACAAACAACAAAAAUUUAUUGGCUUAAACAACAAAAAUUUAUUUCCCAGCUUGCCAAGUGUUCCACAAAACUGUAACAUUGGCCAGGCACGGUGGCUCAUGCCUGUAAUCCCAGCACUUUGGGAGGCCGAGGCAGGAGGAUCACAAGGUCAGGAGAUCAAGACCAUCCUGGCUAACAUGGUCAAACCCCGUCGCCACUAAAAACACAAAAAAUUAGCUGGGCGUGGUGGCGGGCACCUGUAGUCCCAGCUACUGGGGAGGCUGAGGCAGGAGAAUGGCGAGAACCCGGGAGGCGGAGCUGGCAGUGAGCUGAGAUUGCGCCACUCAACUCCAGCCUGGGAGACAGUGAGACUCCAUAUCAAAAAAAAAAAAAAAAAAAAACUGUAACAUUAUGGAUGUAUAUAUUUUAAGCUGCUAAAUUUGUGGUAAUUUGUUACUUCGUAAUAGAAACAUAAAAUACUCCCUUCUUGCUCCCCUGGAAGUUACCUGUACACUAAGCCUAAAACCUGAAGGAGAUCUGUUUUGAUCGUCAGAUUUUCUCAGCCCAGGCCCAGUCUCCUGACCACAUAGCUUCAGAUUGUGACACCUGUUUUGAAGGGGACACUGACAGUGAGCAUAAAACACUUCUCCUGCUGGUUUUGUCUUUCCAGCAAGGUGUCUUUUGUGAAAAUUUUGAAAACCUUGUAUUUAUUGCUUCUACAGUUCUCUGAUGCAUUCAAUUACAUGUUUUAGUAAUUUGUCCCCUUUCAUCUAAUUGAUGCCUCCGGGAAUGUUAACUUUCACCCACCUCAUUCUGUCCUGAACUAGAUAAUUUAAUUACUAAUUACUAAUUUUGCACGUAGUGACUUCAAGUUACUUCAUUUUUUUUCUUUUUUUCUUUCUUUUUUUUUUUUUUUUUUUAGGACAGAGUCUCAUUCUGUCAUCCAGGCUGGAUUGCACUGGGCACUGGUGCAAUCUCGGCUCACUGCAACCUCCACCUCCUGGGAUCAAACGAUUCUCAUGCCUCAGCCUCCAGAGUAGCUGGAAUUACAGGUGCACACCACCACACCAGGCUAACUUUUGUAUUUUUAGUAGAGACAGGGUUUUGUCAUGUUGGCCAGGGCUGGUCUUGAACUCCUGACUUCAAGUGAUCUACCCACCUUGGCCUCCCAAAGCAAUAUGUUUACUAUUGAGAAAUUUACAUUUCUGACCAAAAAUUUGAUCCUGGUAAAGGGAAAGACUAACUUCUAUGGGAUAAACUUAAAGCAUGAUUGGGAGAGAAAAUAAAGUUGCUUCAAGAUAUUUUGUUCUUAUGUGAUGCUUGUUUAAUGGAAAUGUAAGUGUAUGUGUACAUGGAUGUGUGCUUGCAUGCUUUUAUUGAUGUAAAGACACAUUUUAAAACAGAAAAAAUAUUUAAUGGACACAUGCAAAGUUUUAGACUCCUGUACUUUUGAGUCCUAGUACUGAGCAUUUAAAAUUAUUUUUCAUGUUCCCUAAAUUUCUAUGAAGAGAUCACCCUGCUUUUACACUUCUGUAUUAUGAAAGAUUCCACAUAAGAAUAAAUAAAUCACCUUAAAAAGUUAGACUUCAUAUGCUAACAUCCGUGGAGCUCUCUGACAGGGCUACAAACCAGCUCCAUAUCUCCACUCUGAAUCAAUACUGUUGGUCUUUACUCAAGUUUGUGGUAAGUAAUCAGCAAUAAAGGAUUAAUAUACUCCGGUAUAAUGAGAGGCUGUGGUCAGCACACCCCUCAGGAUGAUGACUUAAAAAGUCAACAUUUUUCAAUCUGAAUUCUGCAACCCUUAGUUCUGCCUUUCCCUCAUCCUCAGUUCAUUCUUUGACUCAACACUAACAGAAAACAGUUCUCUAAUCCUUUAAGGGGAAGUCGUGAGGUGGAAUUUUUAAAAUAUGUUUACCCCGAGGUGUUUUUUUUUAAGUUGAAUUUAUGAAUUAUAUUUUGGGGAGCUGACACACAAGCUUAGGCAGAUCAGCAUGCUGUCAGGAUGGUGGACAUGAUAAGUUUAAUUAUCGUGAAAUUAGGCGCCGGGCGCCGUGGCUCACGCCUGUAAUCCCAGCACUUUGGGAGUCCAAGGCGGGCAGAUCAGGAGGUCAGGAGAUCGAGACCAUCCUGGCUAACAUGGUGAAACCCCGUCUCUACUAAAAAUACAAAAAAUAUUAGCAGGGCGUGGUGGCGGGCGCCUGUAGUCCCAGCUACUUGGGAAGCUGAGGCAGGAGAAUGGCGUGAACCCAGGAGGCGGAGCUUGCAGUGAGCCGUGAUUGUGCCACUGGACUCCAGCCUGGGCGACAGAGCGAGACUCCGUCUCAAAAAAAAGAAAAAGAAACGAAAUUAGGCUAACUUGGGGGCAACAGGCUUGUAACCAGACCUGUCUUCUGUGCAGAAAAGUAACCAAGACACAGAACGACUCUCAAGUUCUGAACAUGCGCAUCCUGUUCCGGAAGUAGAGCAAAAAAGGCAUCUUAAGCAAACUAUUAUUUUUGGGGAGAAGGAAAGCAAUUAACGAAGCCUCUUGACAUUUCAUGUCUUAGUGAAUUGAUUUGAUUAUAUUUGAUGACACUAAUCAUAUUAAGAAAUCCAAGCAGACAAGUAGGUGAUGUGAAAGCUGUUUGUCAAUUUACAGCAGGGUCCCAGUGAAUAAUUUAGAGACAAUAUGGACAGCCAGGACAGCUUUUGAUUUUAGAAUUUGGAAAAAGAAAGGUCCCAUGUUCUUAGACAGUGGUGCAGGGGAUAAGGCAGUUUAUAAGGUAGAUACUGGGACACAGGGAAUUCAAUGACAAAAACUGAGAUACACACAAAAAAGCAAGGACUGGGUGACCAAAGCUGAAUGUCUUUUUGGGAAUAAGUUUGAGAACAAGCUAGAAGGGAGAUUACUAGAGCUGACACUCACAAAAUCACAUUCAGAGAAACACUAAUGGUAAAAAUACUAAAUCUCAAAGUGAGGGAUUUGCUGUUCACAUUACUCUUGACCGAGAUUAAAAUUGGUCCUAGAAUUCUGGUGAGAAUAAACUUUCAAGUUGGCUAGAUGUUUCUCCAAUGGUAAUAUAGACAGGAGAAACUGAAGAGCAAUAAAUUGGCUAAUCAGGGCUUCCACAAAAUUCUCUUGAAAAAUUUAAUUCUGUACACUGAAGUUAUCAAAAAUCAUUUUAUUUAAAUUAUUUUUAAAGUCAGUUUGAAUCAAAACAGUAGCAUUAAGUAUAAAAGGUAUAAAUUGCUUAGAUUUUUUCUGUAACCUCAAAUAAACUAAGUUUAAAUAUAAUAGUAAGUAUUCAAAAACUUAAAAUGUAGUCAUAUUCUAAAUUUGUCAUAAAGUGGUCCAUUAUGUUCAGCAAAGUUUAUAUUUGAAAGAGCCAUAAGAACACCUGGAGUAAAUUAGGUUAUCACCUUAUAAUGAAAAAUAAGAAUACAACAAAAAAUAUCUCAAUUAUAUUGGAAUAAGUUGGAGAUACUGAACAAAUCUGUUAAUAGGAUAAUUGUAGGCAUAUAAAAGUGAUUAAAGAAUAAUACAAAAUCUUAAUGCUAAUCAUACUUCUCUAUUUUAAAUACUUCACAAUUAUCAAAUUCAUCAAUUUAUAUAACAUUGUUUUUUAUCGUUUGCAAUAUUUAAGACACAGAUAAGUACCAAUCUUGCUAUGGUAUUCUACUAUUGAACAUAUAAAGUAAAAAAGCAAUGUGAAGAUAACACAUAUAGAAUUUCAAAUAAAAUACUGUUUCAGAUUAGAAAGACAACAGUUAGAUUAGAUUAUAACCUAAACAUCAAAAUUUUACUUUAAGUAUAUUAACAAUAUAAUUAGAAUUAAUUUAUAAAAUACACAGACUAUUUUUAAAGAAAAGGCAUAUUUUCAGUAAAUUUUAACAUGUGCUUUUUUGCAGCAGUAAUUUACACUACAAAGGAUAAUAUAUGAAGGAAAAGAGAGUAAAGGGAAAAUAGUCAAGUUGGAUUUAGACUACACUACACUGAAUGAUGUGUUUGUAAAACUCCAGGAUCCUUCUUAAAAUUUAGCUUAUGUUCAGGAAGAAAUCUAAUUAUCAGGCUGCUAACAAACAAAUGAAAGCUCAGCUCAGGGUCUAAACCAAGAUAACUGAAGUGUCUUCACAGUUUUGGCACUAAUUGGUCGUUUACAGCCCAGGGAAUUUUUAGAACUGACACCAAGAAAAUGAAAGGCUUUUGCUUAGUCACUGAUGUUUAAGUGACAAAAGGCAACAGCAAAGACAAUCUUUCUCCUAGGGAAGAUUUGAGAAGUUCUGCAAAAACUGUUAAACUAAUGUAUCUAUAAAUAUCUGUGCAGUUUUAUUUGCUGCCUUUUCUUUAUUGCAUACAUAUAAGGUUACCUAUAUAGUGUUUUGACAUACAUAUGCAUAGCGGACUGAUUACUACAGUCAAACAAAUGAACAUAUCUAUCAUCUCACACGUUUGAUUUGUAUGCAUAUAUGUAUGUGCGAGUGUGGUAAGAGCACCUAAAGUCUACUCUCUUAAUACAUUUUCAGUAUAUAAUACACAAUUAUUAAAUAUAGUCCUCAUGCUGUAUAUUAGAUCUCUAGUUUAUUCAUUCUGACCCAUAUGUCCCCAUGCGCCCCCCAAUACCCUGCCCCAGUAAUCACCACUCUAAUCUCUAUUUUUAUGUAUGCAACUUUUUAAUUUUAAAAUUCCACAUAUACCUGAGAUCAUGCAGUAUUUUUCUUUCUGAGUCUGGCUUAUUUCAUUUAGCAUAAUGUCUUUCUGACUCAUUCAUGUCAAUGCAAAUGACAGGAUCACUUCUUUAAACUGAAUAAUGUUCCAGUG
rnacentral:lncRNA from 1 species